UCUCCUUUGUCUCACAAUAUUUGUCAACAAUAGAAGCCAAAUCGAUCACUUUCUCCGAGACAAUGCCUAGCUCCGACUCCGCUGACAGUUCAGUCUCCACUAUGUCCUCGCUAGGCGCUUCUAAAAUAAGAGACCUAAGUUGCUUUCUCAAAGCGUCAACCGUGGUUGCAGGCGUUUCCGACCGAAUUUGAACCUCAUAAAUCAACUCAUCCUUCAAAAGACUGUGAAAUUGAAUGCUGCGCUCCAUUUUUAACUAGUGUAUAAACUACUGUAUUGAAAAUUCUGGUAUUAACAAUAUGUAUUGUAUGUAUGACUGUAUCACUAUGUUGUUUUCUAACAAGAUUAAAUAAUAUUAAAUAGUGUACUAUUUUCUUUAAACCAAUCUUAAUCUACAAAUAAUGUAACUGUAAUCCUUAAUGAGUAAAGUAUUUUUCCUACCGAAAAUAAUUUCUAACUGACAGGUGUACACUUUCAAACGUCAACUUUCUUUUUAAAUUUGCAAAGUGAAAGCUACUAUGAAAUUGGUUCCAAACAAUACCACAAACUUCCAAGAAGGUAAUACUUCCAACGAAAUUCAAUACUUUUUACUUUAAAUAUGUAACAAUGAGCUGACACUAAAGAAAUUUAAGGGAAAUGUAAGCAAGUACUCGAAAUUAAUUGUUAUUUCUCAAAUUCGAAUAUCUUUGUAAUAAGUCCGUACUACAAAAGAAUGCACAAAAACCUUUUUAAAUUUCAAUUUUACGCUUAAAAGCAACACAAAUCUAAAACAAAUGUUGAAAUUAAAUCUUAGUAUCUAAAAUGAGUGAAAUUUCCUAGCAUGUACUUGGUGCAAAGUACAAAACCACGUUAUUUUUACGGUUGGCAAUAACCUCAAAAAUCAAAAAAUUGCUUGUCACUUUCUCUUCUAAAAAACAUCAAAUAAAUUGCAUCAAACCAGCAAAAUUGCAAUCAAAUCCUCAAAUUACUAUAUCUAAAGACUAUUUAAUGAAUAGAGAGCAACCAAGACUAAACAAAAAGCUGGCGCUGAUGCCCUACUAAAUUAAAUCAUGGAAAGGACCGACCUCAGAAUUUAAACGUUCCUCAGAUGCAGCGGGGUGACAGGCUGCUUUCCCCGGUGAAGCUAGAUGCUGAGCGGAGACGUAGAGCUCAGGGGCCGCGCACGUGGUACCAAAAUGACGUGGCAGAGGUAGAUGGCGUGUUUAAAUUCUUCGCUCCAGGAGGUCUCCAAAACUAAAUUGACUUCUAGGAUUUUUGAAGCUUUUGAGAUAAAUUACUCAACGAAUGAAAUAAAUGAAUGAAUAAAUCAGUAAAUAAAUCCCGGCUCCUGAAAACCGAGAAAAGGUUGUAUUAGCCUUCGCCCUUUAUGGCCUCUAGAAAAGAGAUGAAACCAUUGGAAAUUUGGCUCACCGCACUGGUAGCUGCUAAGCCUUCUGGCGGAGCGCUCCCUUCCCUCGAGCAGGAGUCUCUCUGCAAAGAACCAAAAUUUGGUUAAGAACAAACCCACAACGUCUCGCGCCAUUGUGGAGUUGAUCACCACGAAAUUUAAUUUCUACUCACUCAGUGGAGCUUCCGAAGGACUCAAGCCGUUUCCAUCUUUCAGACCACCAUGCCGAAAGUGUGGCCUUCCCACAAAUUGGGCUCUUGCGAGCGAGUGUCCCCAGAGGGGGUCCCGAAUCAAAUGUGCAUAUCAUUCUCGAAUGAUCUCCAAUAUGGAGUCCCUGAGAGCCCUAACAAAAGGUAAUAGGGUGGCAGUCCCUUGAAGACACAAAUCCCACGAAAAUUCUGUCUGAAUUAUUUAGACAAUAUCACUCCUGAGCCUAAGAAAUAUAUUUUUACCAUUUAA